UCCCCGUUACCGGGGCAGUCUGAAUAGAAAAAUACAACUAUUCACAAGGGUUGCGCUCGUUGAUGGACUUAACCAAACAUCUCACGACACGAGCUGACGACGGCCAUGCAUCACCUGUCACUUGGCUCAAUAAAGCACUCAAUCCUUUCGGAUUAAUUCCAAGGAUGUCAAACCCUGGUAAGGUUCUUCGGUUAUCAUCGAAUUAAAGAACAUGAUCCACCGCUUGUGCGGGUCCCCGUCAAUUCCUUUAUGUUUUAGUCUUGCGACCGUACUCCACAGGCGGGAUACUUAACGCGUUAGCUUCGCUACCGAGGGGGUCGAUACCCCCGACAGCUAGUAUCCAUCGUUUACGGCGUGGACUAC
rnacentral:misc_RNA from 1 species